GACGAACGCUGGCGGCGUGCCUAAUACAUGCAAGUCGAGCGAACAGAGAAGGAGCUUGCUCCUUCGACGUUAGCGGCGGACGGGUGAGUAACACGUGGGCAACCUACCUUAUAGUUUGGGAUAACUCCGGGAAACCGGGGCUAAUACCGAAUAAUCUGUUUCAUCUCAUGGUGAAACACUGAAAGACGGUUUCGGCUGUCGCUAUAGGAUGGGCCCGCGGCGCAUUAGCUAGUUGGUGAGGUAACGGCUCACCAAGGCGACGAUGCGUAGCCGACCUGAGAGCGUGAUCGGCCACACUGGGACUGAGACACGGCCCAGACUCCUACGGGAGGCAGCAGUAGGGAAUCUUCCACAAUGGGCGAAAGCCUGAUGGAGCAACGCCGCGUGAGUGAAGGAGGCCUUCGGGUCGUAAAACUCUGUUGUUAGGGAAGAACAAGUACCGGAGUAACUGCCGGUACCUUGACGGUACCUAACCAGAAAGCCACGGCUAACUACGUGCCAGCAGCCGCCGUAAGAC
rnacentral:rRNA from 1 species